rnacentral:rRNA from 1 species
UUAAGCGACUAAGCGUACACGGUGGAUGCCCUGGCAGUCAGAGGCGAUGAAGGACGUGCUAAUCUGCGAAAAGCGCCGGCGAGGUGAUAUGAACCCUUGACCCGGCGAUGUCCGAAUGGGGAAACCCAGUGUGAUUCGUCACACUAUCGUUAACUGAAUACAUAGGUUAACGAGGCGAACCGGGGGAACUGAAACAUCUAAGUACCCCGAGGAAAAGAAAUCAACCGAGAUUCCCCCAGUAGCGGCGAGCGAACGGGGAGCAGCCCAGAGUCUGAAUCAGCUUGUGUGUUAGUGGAAGCGUCUGGAAAGUCGCACGGUACAGGGUGAAAGUCCCGUACACGAAAAUGCACAGGCUGUGAGCUCGAAGAGUAGGGCGGGACACGUGGUAUCCUGUCUGAAUAUGGGGGGACCAUCCUCCAAGGCUAAAUACUCCUGACUGACCGAUAGUGAACCAGUACCGUGAGGGAAAGGCGAAAAGAACCCCGGCGAGGGGAGUGAAAAAGAACCUGAAACCGUGUACGUACAAGCAGUGGGAGCACCUUCGUGGUGUGACUGCGUACCUUUUGUAUAAUGGGUCAGCGACUUAUAUUCUGUAGCAAGGUUAACCGUAUAGGGGAGCCGAAGGGAAACCGAGUCUUAACUGGGCGUUAAGUUGCAGGGUAUAGACCCGAAACCCGGUGAUCUAGCCAUGGGCAGGUUGAAGGUUGGGUAACACUAACUGGAGGACCGAACCGACUAAUGUUGAAAAAUUAGCGGAUGACCUGUGGCUGGGGGUGAAAGGCCAAUCAAACCGGGAGAUAGCUGGUUCUCCCCGAAAGCUAUUUAGGUAGCGCCUCGUGAACUCAUCUUCGGGGGUAGAGCACUGUUUCGGCUAGGGGGCCAUCCCGGCUUACCAACCCGAUGCAAACUACGAAUACCGAAGAAUGUUAUCACGGGAGACACACGGCGGGUGCUAACGUCCGUCGUGAAGAGGGAAACAACCCAGACCGCCAGCUAAGGUCCCAAAGUCAUGGUUAAGUGGGAAACGAUGUGGGAAGGCCCAGACAGCCAGGAUGUUGGCUUAGAAGCAGCCAUCAUUUAAAGAAAGCGUAAUAGCUCACUGGUCGAGUCGGCCUGCGCGGAAGAUGUAACGGGGCUAAACCAUGCACCGAAGCUGCGGCAGCGACGCUUAUGCGUUGUUGGGUAGGGGAGCGUUCUGUAAGCCGUUGAAGGUGGCCUGUGAGGGUUGCUGGAGGUAUCAGAAGUGCGAAUGCUGACAUAAGUAACGAUAAAGCGGGUGAAAAGCCCGCUCGCCGGAAGACCAAGGGUUCCUGUCCAACGUUAAUCGGGGCAGGGUGAGUCGACCCCUAAGGCGAGGCCGAAAGGCGUAGUCGAUGGGAAACAGGUUAAUAUUCCUGUACUUGGUGUUACUGCGAAGGGGGGACGGAGAAGGCUAUGUUAGCCGGGCGACGGUUGUCCCGGUUUAAGCAUGUAGGCGGAGGUUCCAGGUAAAUCCGGUACCUUUUAACGCUGAGGUGUGAUGACGAGGCACUACGGUGCUGAAGUAACAAAUGCCCUGCUUCCAGGAAAAGCCUCUAAGCAUCAGGUAACAUCAAAUCGUACCCCAAACCGACACAGGUGGUCAGGUAGAGAAUACCAAGGCGCUUGAGAGAACUCGGGUGAAGGAACUAGGCAAAAUGGUGCCGUAACUUCGGGAGAAGGCACGCUGAUAUGUAGGUGAAGCCCCUGCGGGUGGAGCUGAAAUCAGUCGAAGAUACCAGCUGGCUGCAACUGUUUAUUAAAAACACAGCACUGUGCAAACACGAAAGUGGACGUAUACGGUGUGACGCCUGCCCGGUGCCGGAAGGUUAAUUGAUGGGGUUAGCGGCAACGCGAAGCUCUUGAUCGAAGCCCCGGUAAACGGCGGCCGUAACUAUAACGGUCCUAAGGUAGCGAAAUUCCUUGUCGGGUAAGUUCCGACCUGCACGAAUGGCGUAAUGAUGGCCAGGCUGUCUCCACCCGAGACUCAGUGAAAUUGAACUCGCUGUGAAGAUGCAGUGUACCCGCGGCAAGACGGAAAGACCCCGUGAACCUUUACUAUAGCUUGACACUGAACACUGGUCCUUGAUGUGUAGGAUAGGUGGGAGGCUUUGAAGCGUGGACGCCAGUCUGCGUGGAGCCGUCCUUGAAAUACCACCCUUUAAUGGCUGGUGUUCUAACGUAGACCCGUGAUCCGGGUUGCGGACAGUGUCUGGUGGGUAGUUUGACUGGGGCGGUCUCCUCCCAAAGAGUAACGGAGGAGCACGAAGGUUAGCUAAUCCUGGUCGGACAUCAGGAGGUUAGUGCAAUGGCAUAAGCUAGCUUGACUGCGAGAGUGACGGCUCGAGCAGGUGCGAAAGCAGGUCAUAGUGAUCCGGUGGUUCUGAAUGGAAGGGCCAUCGCUCAACGGAUAAAAGGUACUCCGGGGAUAACAGGCUGAUACCGCCCAAGAGUUCAUAUCGACGGCGGUGUUUGGCACCUCGAUGUCGGCUCAUCACAUCCUGGGGCUGAAGUAGGUCCCAAGGGUAUGGCUGUUCGCCAUUUAAAGUGGUACGCGAGCUGGGUUUAGAACGUCGUGAGACAGUUCGGUCCCUAUCUGCCGUGGGCGCUGGAGAAUUGAGGGGGGCUGCUCCUAGUACGAGAGGACCGGAGUGGACGCAUCACUGGUGUUCGGGUUGUCAUGCCAAUGGCACUGCCCGGUAGCUAAAUGCGGAAGAGAUAAGUGCUGAAAGCAUCUAAGCACGAAACUUGCCCCGAGAUGAGUUCUCCCUGAGACUUAAAGUCUCCUGAAGGAACGUUGAAGACGACGACGUUGAUAGGUCGGGUGUGUAAGCGCAGCGAUGCGUUGAGCUAACCGAUACUAAUGAACCGUGAGGCUUAACCUU